GACGAACGCUGGCGGCGUGCUUAACACAUGCAAGUCGAACGGAAAGGCCCUGCUUUUGUGGGGUGCUCGAGUGGCGAACGGGUGAGUAACACGUGAGUAACCUGCCCUUGACUUUGGGAUAACUUCAGGAAACUGGGGCUAAUACCGGAUAGGAGCUCCUGCUGCAUGGUGGGGGUUGGAAAGUUUCGGCGGUUGGGGAUGGACUCGCGGCUUAUCAGCUUGUUGGUGGGGUAGUGGCUUACCAAGGCUUUGACGGGCAGCCGGCCUGAGAGGGUGACCGGCCACAUUGGGACUGAGAUACGGCCCAGACUCCUACGGGAGGCAGCAGUGGGGAAUAUUGCACAAUGGGCGGAAGCCUGAUGCAGCAACGCCGCGUGCGGGAUGACGGCCUUCGGGUUGUAAACCACUUUCGCCUGUGACGAAGCGUGAGUGACGGUAAUGGGUAAAGAAGCACCGGCUAACUACGUG
rnacentral:rRNA from 1 species